UGGGGAAUAUUGGACAAUGGGCGAAAGCCUGAUCCAGCCAUGCCGCGUGUGUGAUGAAGGCCUUCGGGUUGUAAAGCACUUUCACACGUGACGAUGAUGACGGUAACGUGAGAAGAAGCCCCGGCUAACUUCGUGCCAGCAGCCGCGGUAAUACGAAGGGGGCAAGCGUUGUUCGGAAUUACUGGGCGUAAAGGGCGCGUAGGCGGUGUACUAAGUCAGGCGUGAAAGCCCUGGGCUCAACCCGGGAAUUGCGUUUGAUACUGGUACGCUUGAAUCCAGGAGAGGUUGGUGGAAUUCCCAGUGUAGAGGUGAAAUUCGUAGAGAUUGGGAAGAACACCGGUGGCGAAGGCGGCCAACUGGACUGGUAUUGACGCUGAGGCGCGAAAGCGUGGGGAGCAAACAG
rnacentral:rRNA from 1 species